ACCGCUUGGCACUAUUAUAAAGUCCAGGCAUUCAAUAUCGCGCUAGCUGCUUCAUGCACCGAGUCAGACUUCCUUCUUCUGUUCUUCCUCCUUAUCCGCUUUCCACUCUCUCUCUCUCUAUCUGCGAAAGCUUCACUAACUCGGACUCCGCCAUCAAGCUCAGACUAUCGUUUGGCUCCAAAUUCGUGAUUCCACCCUCACCCAUCAAGGAAAUUCCCACCACCCUCUGAUCGACGACGACGACGACGACGACGACAACAACGUUAUUGUUGCUGCCAAGUCCCAGGGUCACUCAGCUAGAACGCCUGUAAGAAUAUAUUCUAUUCACCGAGCAAGGUCCAUCUCUGUAAACAAGAAAAUGAACAACCAGAGAGGCCAUGUCAUUGUGCUCACAUAUCCUGCCCAAGGCCACAUAAAUCCUCUCCUCCAGUUUGCAAAACGUUUGGCCAGCAAAGGACUCAAGGUAACUCUGGCCACUACUCAUUAUACCGUCAAGUCUAUUCAUUCAGCCACAGUAGGCGUGGAGCCCAUCUCAGAUGGCUUUGAUGAAGCUGGAUUUAAGCAAGCUCCAAGUCUAGAAGCCUACUUAGAUUCUUUCAAAUCAGUAGGAUCGAAAACUCUAGCAGAGCUGAUAUCAAAGUUCAAUGAUUCAGCCUCACCGGUAAACUGUAUUGUGUAUGACUCUUUGCUACCAUGGGCUCUUCAUGUGGCUAGGCAAUUUGGUAUCUAUGGUGCUGUGUUCUUAACAAACUCGGCUUCCGUUUGCUCCAUGUAUUGGCAUAUCCAUCAUGGUCACCUGACUUUGCCUGUGAAGCAAGAAACUGAGCAGCUAUUGUUGCCUGGCCUUCCUCCCCUUGGCAUUUCUAACUUGCCAGGUUUUCUUGGGCAGCCCGCAGUUGCCUCUGCUUACUUGACACUGAUCCUGGAGAAAUUUGGCCUUUUGGAAGAGAAUGAUUGGGUGUUCUGUAACAGUUUCGAAGAGCUGGAAAGUGAGCUAGUGAAGGCUAUGAAGGGACUCUGGCCCUUGGUGAUGACUGGUCCAACGGUGCCAUCAGCCUACCUAGACCAGCAGAUCAAUGGAGAUAGAACUUAUGGAGCCAGUCUUUGGGAGCUUAGCAGUGACCAGUGCCUGAGAUGGCUUGAGACACAACCACCAAAGUCAGUGGUAUACGUAUCAUUUGGAAGCAUGGCAGACAUCACAUCUCAACAGGCUGAAGAAAUUGCAUGGGGUUUAAUAGCAAGCAAUGUGCAUUUCCUACUGGUUGCAAGAAAUUCUGGGGACAAGUUUCCAAGCAGCUUUCUUAAUUCAGUACAAGGAAGAGGAUUGAUUGUGCCGUGGUGCAACCAACUAGAGGUUCUAGCACACCCGGCUGUUGGUUGCUUUGUGACACAUUGUGGGUGGAACUCAACAUUGGAGGCCUUGAGCAUAGGGGUGCCAAUGGUAGCAUUUCCACAGUGGAGUGACCAGCCUACUAAUGCCAUGUUUGUGGAGGAGUUGUGGCGGGUGGGAGUAAAGGCCAAGAAAAACAAAGAGGGGAUCGUGUCGCGGGAUGAGCUAGAGAUGUGUAUAAUGGAAGUUAUGGUAGGAACAAAAAGUGAAGAGAUAAAGGAGAAUGCAAGUAAAUGGAGAAAGCUUGCAAUAAGAGCUGUUAGUUCAGGUGGAAGCUCGGAUAAGAACAUCAAUGAAUUUGUAGGUAAGUUGAUGAAAGAGAGAGGAGUGGGGAAGAAAGCUUGAUUGCUGGUUGGCGCCUGAUGAACAUAAUGAGCUUGUAUGGAUGAUAAUAUGUGUGAUCCAAUUGCAGGAAAGAUACUUUAGAAUGCUAGACAAGUAGGGACCAACUCAUACUUAUUCAGGAUGUGUUUUGGUCUUUCGACGUUCAGUAAGACAGGUAGCAAGUAUUCGUCACGGCUUGAAGUGAUGGAUUACAUUGAAUAAAAGACCAUUACAUGGUUGAUUAGGAGAAGGACCUGAUAAUCUGAUAAAUGCACCAAGCAGAGAGUCAACAUACAUCAUGCAAGCCUCUUAUGAGUGAGAGAGAGAGAGAAGAAUGGGGAAUCAAGAGAGAAGGUCAGUUAAUAAGUUUCUUCUUCUUUUGUUUAAUCAGCAGAUAGUUUUAUUCUCUAGAGAACCUGGUUACAUUAAGUUAAUUAUUGAUAUAUUCUAUUCUCAAAUGUAUGCAUGCUUCAGUUCAUUAUCUUGAUAGAUGCAGGCAUUAUAACCCGUGCAGAUGCAUAGUAU